rnacentral:rRNA from 1 species
AACGAACGCUGGCGGCAGGCUUAACACAUGCAAGUCGAGCGCCCCGCAAGGGGAGCGGCAGACGGGUGAGUAACGCGUGGGAAUCUACCGAGCCCUAAGGAAUAGCUCCGGGAAACUGGAAUUAAUACCUUAUACGCCCUUUUGGGGAAAGAUUUAUCGGGGUUUGAUGAGCCCGCGUUGGAUUGGCUAGUUGGUGGGGUAAAGGCCUACCAAGGCGACGAUCCAUAGCUGGUCUGAGCGGAUGAUCAGCCACAUUGGGACUGAGACACGGCCCAAACGCCUACGGGAGGCAGCAGUGGGGAAUAUUGGACAAUGGGCGCAAGCCUGAUCCAGCCAUGCCGCGUGAGUGAUGAAGGCCCUAGGGUUGUAAAGCUCUUUCACCGGUGAAGAUAAUGACGGUAACCGGAGAAGAAGCCCCGGCUAACUUCGUGCCAGCCGCCGCGGUAA